rnacentral:rRNA from 1 species
UACGGAGGAUGCAAGCGUUAUCCGGAAUUAUUGGGCGUAAAGCGUCCGUAGGUGGCUUAUCCAGUCUUUUGUCAAAUCGUGCGGCUUAACCGCAUACAGGCAGGAGAAACUGAUGAGCUAGAGUGCGAUAGGGGUGACAGGAAUUCCCAGUGUAGCGGUGAAAUGCGUAGAUAUUGGGAAGAACACCAGCGGCGAAAGCGUGUCACUGGGUCUGCACUGACACUGAGGGACGAAAGCUAGGGGAGCGAAAGGG